rnacentral:ncRNA from 1 species
AUAGAGUUUUAUUCUUGCUAAAUUAUCUUUUUAUUUUUGUACUAUAUAUUAUUUUUGUCUUCUAAAAGAAGAAUUUUGUAGUAGGGAUUAUUAUUGUUCAAAUUAAUUUGGAAAUAGCAAAUUUUUUAAUUCUGGUUAAUUUCGUGCCAGCAUCCGCGGUUACACGAUUGGGGUAAAAGAUAAUUAUUAGUUAAUAGUUACUUUUAUUUUUUAUUAAAUUUUUACUUUUUAGGUUAAAUUUAUAUUUUAUUUAUUAUUUAUUUUUUUGGAUUCUGUGAAAUCUUUAUUAUAAACAAGGAUUAGAUACCCUUUUAUUUUAGAUGUUAAUUUUUUACUUGGGUAGUAUUAGUUAUGUUCUUGAAACCCAAAGAAUUUGGCGGUAUUUUAGUCUUUUCAGAGGAACCUGUUCUUUAAUCGAUAAUCCACGAUUUUAUUAACUUUUUCUUGCUUUCAGUUUUUAUACCUCCGUCAUAAGAAUAUUUUUUUAGAAUAAAUUUUCUUUUUUGUUAAAACAAAGAUGUCAGGUCAAGGUGAAGCUUAUGUAGAAGUAGAAAUGGGUUACAAUAAAUUUAUUUAUACGGAUUUAUUUAAAUUGUAUUUAAUAAUGAAGGUGGAUUUGGAAGUAAAAUUAAUUAAAUAUUUUUUUUGAUUUUAGCUCUAAAAUAUGCACACAUCGCCCGUCGCUCUCAUAUUAAAAUGAGAUAAGUCGUAACAUAGUAGAUGUAUUGGAAAAUGUAUCUAGUAAGUU